rnacentral:rRNA from 1 species
CCUACGGGAGGCAGCAGUGAGGAAUAUUGGUCAAUAGCCGAGAGGCUGAACCAGCCAAGUAGCGUGCAGGAUGACGGCCCUCGUGGUUGUAAACUGCUUUUAGUCGGGAAUAAAAGGGGGUUCGUGAAUCCCGUAUUGUAUGUACCGUCAGAAAAAGGACCGGCUAAUUCCGUGCCAGCAGCCGCGGUAAUACGGAAGGUCCGGGCGUUAUCCGGAUUUAUUGGGUUUAAAGGGUGCGCAGGCGGCCUGUUAAGUCAGCGGUAAAAGCCCGGGGCUCAACCCCGGCGAGCCGUUGAAACUGGCGG